UACGUAGGGUCCGAGCGUUGUCCGGAAUUAUUGGGCGUAAAGGGCUCGUAGGCGGUCCGUCACGUUGGGGGUGAAAACUCGGAGCUCAACUCCGAGCCUGCUUCCGAUACGGGCAGACUAGAGGUAGGUAGGGGAGAAUGGAAUUCCCGGUGUAGCGGUGAAAUGCGCAGAUAUCGGGAGGAACACCAGUGGCGAAGGCGGCUACCUGGCCCACUCUUGACGCUGAGGCGCGAAAGCUAGGGGAGCAAACGGG
rnacentral:rRNA from 1 species